rnacentral:rRNA from 1 species
UACGUAGGGUGCAAGCGUUGUCCGGAUUUAUUGGGCGUAAAGAGCGUGUAGGCGGCCAUACAGGUCAGCUGUGAAAACUCGAGGCUCAACCUCGAGACGUCGGUUGAAACCGUAUGGCUAGAGUCCGGAAGAGGAGAGUGGAAUUCCCGGUGUAGCGGUGAAAUGCGCAGAUAUCGGGAAGAACACCAGUGGCGAAGGCGGCUCUCUGGGACGGUACUGACGCUGAGACGCGAAAGCGUGGGGAGCGAACAGG